UGGAGUAGCACAAAUGAUCGCCGGUUCCGUACGGGAUCGGAGGAAAGUCCGGGCUCCACAGGGCAGGGUGCUGGGUAACGCCCAGUCCCGGUGACGGGGAGGAUAGCGCCACAGAAAGCAAACCGCCCUGCAUUGCGCAGGGUAAGGGUGAAACGGUGAGGUAAGAGCUCACCAGUCCCGAUGGUGACAUCGGGAGCUAGGCAAGCCCCACCCGGAGCAAGACCGAAUAGGAGAGCGUUUGAGGGCUGCCCGUCCGAGGCUCUCGGGUAGGUUGCUUGAUCCCGCCGGCAACGGCGGGACUAGAGGAAUGAUCAUUGCCUUUCGUCGCCUGCGGGCGUUCGAGGGGAACAGAACCCGGCUUAUGGGCUGCUCCAAAUU
rnacentral:RNase_P_RNA from 24 species